UCGGAAACCAACGCUCCGCUGGCUGUCACCCCUUACCCACUUGCUGUCAGGUGUCCAAACAGUGUCAUCCGGUGUCCUGACAUGCGGCCCCAAUGGACUGAUCCAGGGUGGAAAGGAAGAGUGAGAAGAAAUCAGACAGAAGAAUUCAGGAGAUGUGGCAACAGAGUGGAUGUAGCAGAAGGGACAUAGAGAGUGCCUAAAGAUGAGUCUUUGGUCAGCAUGUGAUGAAAAGAAUGAAGACACUGGGGAAGUGGGGAGCAGAAGCGGAUGUGGGCCCAGGAGGAAGAAGAUUCCAGAGAGCAG
rnacentral:lncRNA from 1 species